rnacentral:rRNA from 1 species
AGCGCAGGCGGGAAACUAAGCGGAUCUUAAAAGUGCGGGGCUCAACCCCGUGAUGGGGUCCGAACUGGUUUUCUUGAGUGCAGGAGAGGAAAGCGGAAUUCCCAGUGUAGCGGUGAAAUGCGUAGAUAUUAGGAUGAACACCAGUGGCGAAGGCGGCUUUCUGGACUGUAACUGACGCUGAGGCUCGAAAGCUAGGGUAGCGAAGG